rnacentral:rRNA from 1 species
GAACCUGCGGAGGGAUCAUUACCGAGUGAGGGCCCCCGGGCCCGACCUCCCACCCUUUGUUUCCACACCUCGUUGCCUCGGGGGCGACCCGGCAUCCGGGUCCCCCCGGCGGACCGACCCAACUCGAUUUUGGAAUGCGUCUGAGUGGAAAGAUUGAAUGAAGCAAAACUUUCAACAACGGAUCUCUUGGUUCUGGCAUCGAUGAAGAACGCAGCGAAAUGCGAUAAGUAAUGUGAAUUGCAGAAUUCAGUGAAUCAUCGAAUCUUUGAACGCACAUUGCGCCCCUUGGCACUCCGAGGGGCAUGCCUGUUCGAGCGUCAUUUCACCCAUCAAGCCUGGCUUGGUAUUGGGCGCCGCGGCCCCCGCGCGCCUCAAAGUCACGUCGGCCGGGUCGUGUCCCCCGUAGCGUUGUGGUUAAAACGUUCGCUAAUCGGGUGGGCGCGGCCUCGCCGUUAAACCUCUCAAGGUUGACCUCGGAUCAGGUAGGGAUACCCGCUGAACUUAAGCAUAUCAAUAAGCGGAGGAA